CCUACGGGAGGCUGCAGUGAGGAAUAUUGGUCAAUGGGCGGAAGCCUGAACCAGCCAAGUCGCGUGAGGGAAUAAGGCCCUACGGGUCGUAAACCUCUUUUGCCGGGGAGCAAGGGCGGGGACGUGUCCCGGCCCGGAGAGUACCCGGAGAAAAAGCAUCGGCUAACUCCGUGCCAGCAGCCGCGGUAAUACGGAGGAUGCGAGCGUUAUCCGGAUUUAUUGGGUUUAAAGGGUGCGUAGGCGGUAUGUCAAGUCAAGGGUGAAAUCCCCGCGCUCAACGUGGGAACUGCCUUUGAAACUGGCAAACUGGAGUGUGUGAGAGGAUAGUGGAAUUCCAGGGGUAGGAGUGAAAUCCGUAGAUAUCUGGAGGAACAUCAGUGGCGAAGGCGACUAUCUGGCACAUAACUGACGCUGAGGAGCGAAAGCGUGGGUAGCAAACAGGAUUAGAGACCCUAGUAGUC
rnacentral:rRNA from 1 species